UACGGGGGGAGCAAGCGUUGUUCGGAUUUACUGGGCGUAAAGGGCGCGUAGGCGGCGUAACAAGUCACUUGUGAAAUCUCCGGGCUUAACCCGGAGCGGCCAAGUGAUACUGUUGGGCUAGAGUGCGGAAGGGGCUACUGGAAUUCUCGGUGUAGCGGUGAAAUGCGUAGAUAUCGAGAGGAACACCUGCGGCGAAGGCGGGUAGCUGGGCCGACACUGACGCUGAGGCGCGAAAGCCAGGGGAGCGAACGGG
rnacentral:rRNA from 1 species